rnacentral:rRNA from 1 species
UACGGGGGGGCAAGCGUUGUUCGGAAUUACUGGGCGUAAAGGGCUCGUAGGCGGCCAACUAAGUCGGAUGUGAAAUCCCCAGGCUUAACCUGGGAACUGCAUCCGAUACUGGAUGGCUUGAAUCCGGGAGAGGGAUGCAGAAUUCCAGGUGUAGCGGUGAAAUGCGUAGAUAUCUGGAGGAAUACCGGUGGCGAAGGCGGCAUCCUGGACCGGCAUUGACGCUGAGGAGCGAAAGCUAGGGGAGCAAACGGG